UGUAAACAUCCCCGACUGGAAGCUGUAAAAUACCUUCAAGCUUUCAGUCAGAUGUUUGCU
rnacentral:pre_miRNA from 1 species